ACGUUGAUACACCAGUUCCCAUACGAUCAUAGGAGUUAAGCAAAAUCGAACCCGGUUAGUACUUACAUGUGUGACCGCUUGUGAAUACCAGAUUCUGUAG